CCCGCCCGCCCUGUGACGCUGACGGUGACCCUGACGCUGCAAAUUCUGCGCGAAUUCUACGGGGGCAAGCGCCUUUGCUGAUGGAAUUGAUGGUCGUGCUGUUUUGGCAGGAGAAAAUUUGUUUCUAGCAGAUCACGUGGGUGGAUCACGAGCAGAACAAACCACCGACCGAAAAUAAAACCCUGCGACCUGCUCCAGCUAGAGCACCAACGGGAGUGGAGGUGCUGAACAAAAGCCACUACCCACUCGAAAGAAUAGAGCAGGUCAACAAAGAUCAUUGAUUUCGAGCUUAAGUAGAGCUGGCAUUUGCUGACCUGCAACAAGAUAGUGCCUCAUAUGUAUUACCAUGGACAUUUCAUGUGAGAAACUUUAUGUAUAUUACUUAAAAUAUAUGAUCUUGUAUUGAUAAUAGUCUACA